rnacentral:rRNA from 1 species
AAUGAACGCUGGCGGCGUGCUUAACACAUGCAAGUCGAGCGAGAAAGUCCUUCGGGAUGAGUACAGCGGCGAACGGGUGAGUAACGCGUAGGAAUCUGCCUUUUAGUGGAGAAUACCCUCGAGAAAUCGAGGUUAAUACUGCAUACGUCUCGAAAGAGAGAAAGAUGGCCUCUUUGCUGUCGCUAAAAGAUGAGCCUGCGUACUAUUAGCUAGUUGGUAGGGUAAUGGCCUACCAAGGCGAUGAUGGUUAGCCGGCCUGAGAGGGUGUACGGCCACACUGGAACUUAGAUACGGUCCAGACUCCUACGGGAGGCAGCAGUGAGGAAUAUUGCGCAAUGGGCGAAAGCCUGACGCAGCGACGCCGCGUGGAGGAUGAAGGUCUUCGGAUUGUAAACUUCUGUUAAGUGGGAAGAAAUACUUCGUUCUAAUACAACGGGGGGAUGACGGUACCACUAGAGAAAGCACCGGCUAACUUCGUGCCAGCAGCCGCGGUAACAC